rnacentral:sRNA from 1 species
UAUAAGGACAAGUUAAAUUGAAAACAUAGAUCUUUAGUAACCUUGCUGAAAAACAAAAAUAAUUUUGUUCUCCGUUAAUAUCGUUGUGGUGGUACAUUUUUCUGUGUAAAGCAGGUUUUGCAGCUGAGCAUCAAGACUAGACAUAUCAAAGAAUGUUAUACAAAGGGAUAACCUUGCAAUGGCAUGCUAUAUGUUGAAAAUGAAGGAGACUCAAGGGUGGUGUUGGGGAAAGUAGAGAGAGCAAGAAGGGAAACAACAGCUAUCCAAUUGUCUGAGAUGAACUUCAGACAAUGCACCCAUAUGAUCCACAAAUCAUGAUUAAGAAACACAAUUUUUGGCGUGUGAAAGGCCUUGUACAGAUCCUUAGGUGAUGCAUAUCUGAAGAAAC